rnacentral:tRNA from 1 species
GCCUAUAUAGCUCAGCUGGUUAGAGCACCAGUCCUGUAAACUGGGGGUCGGGAGUUCAAAUCUCUCUAUAGGCU